UGGGGAAUAUUGGACAAUGGGGGAAACCCUGAUCCAGCAAUGCCGCGUGAGUGAAGAAGGCCUUAGGGUUGUAAAGCUCUUUCGCCCGCGAAGAUAAUGACGGUAGCGGGAGAAGAAGCCCCGGCUAACUCCGUGCCAGCAGCCGCGGUAAUACGGAGGGGGCUAGCGUUGUUCGGAAUUACUGGGCGUAAAGCGUACGUAGGCGGAUGCGCAAGUUGGGGGUGAAAUCCCGGGGCUUAACCUCGGAAUUGCCCUCAAAACUGCACGUCUUGAGACCGAGAGAGGUAAGGGGAAUUCCUAGUGUAGAGGUGAAAUUCGUAGAUAUUAGGAAGAACACCAGUGGCGAAGGCGCCUUACUGACUCGGUACUGACGCUGAGGUACGGAAGCGUGGGGAGCAAACA
rnacentral:rRNA from 1 species